GCACAAACAAGUAUUGUUGUCUUGUGGUCAACACUGGUAGACUUGUCAACCUGGAUUGUGUACCACAGUGGCUCAUUAAUUUUCUCUGACAAUUGUGCCUCAAUAGCCUCUGCUAUUUCAUCAAUUCAUCUAGUUUUGGUACUAGCUGAAAGAGGAACAAGUGCCACUUUUGAACCACAGCCUCUCCUAAAAGUUCAUGACAGGCCAGGCGUGGUUGCAGUGAGCCGAGAUUACACCACCGCACUCCCGCCUGGGCAAC
rnacentral:lncRNA from 10 species